AUGGAGCUUCGUCGGACGCGUCGGUGUUGCAUUGGAGCUCCGCAGGUGCUGCGAUGGAGCUUUGCCGGACACGUCGGCGCUGCGUUGGAGCUCGACUGGUGCUGCUCUUGCUGUGAUGCAAAUCGUCCACGACAGUGGGCAUCGACGCCCGCUGCAUCGCAGCUCCGGCGACGUCGCGGCCACUGCAACGCACCUCCGGCGGCAUCGGCGACCACUUCAUCGCAGCUCCGGCGGCCGCUGCAUCGCAGCUCCGGCGGCAUCGACGCCUGCUGCAUAGCGCUCCGAUGGCAUCGACAACCGCUGCAUAGCAACUUCGGCGGUGUCGCGGCCGCUACAGUGCAACUCCGGUGGCGUCGAUGA
rnacentral:rRNA from 1 species